rnacentral:rRNA from 1 species
GAUGAACGCUGGCGGCGUGCCUAAUACAUGCAAGUCGAGCGAACGGACGAGAAGCUUGCUUCUCUGAUGUUAGCGGCUGACGGGUGAGUAACACGUGGAUAACCUACCUAUAAGACUGGGAUAACUUCGGGAAACCGGAGCUAAUACCGGAUAAUAUUUUGAACCGCAUUGUUCAAAAGUGAAAGACUGUCUUGCUGUCACUUAUAGAUGGAUCCGCGCUGCAUUAGCUAGUUGGUAAGGUAACGGCUUACCAAGUCAACGAUGCAUAGCCGACCUGAGAGGGUGAUCAGCCACAAUGGAACUGAGACACGGUCCAGACUCCUACGGGAGGCAGCAGUAGGGAAUCUUCCGCAAUGGGCGAAAGCCUGACGGAGCAACGCAGCGUGAGUGAUGAAGGUCUUCGGAUCGUAAAACUCUGUUAUUAGGGAAGAACAUAUGUGUAAGUAACUGUGCACAUCUUGACGGUACCUAAUCAGAAAGCCACGGCUAACUACGUG